rnacentral:rRNA from 1 species
GACGAACGCUGGCGGCGUGCCUAAUACAUGCAAGUUGAGCGCUGAAGGUUGGUACUUGUACCGACUGGAUGAGCAGCGAACGGGUGAGUAACGCGUGGGGAAUCUGCCUUUGAGCGGGGGACAACAUUUGGAAACGAAUGCUAAUACCGCAUAAAAACUUUAAACACAAGUUUUAAGUUUGAAAGAUGCAAUUGCAUCACUCAAAGAUGAUCCCGCGUUGUAUUAGGUAGUUGGUGAGGUAAAGGCGCACCAAGGCGAUGAUACAUAGCCGACCUGGGAGGGUGAUCGGCCCAAUCGGGAACGAGACACCGCCCAAACCCCUUCGGGAGGCAGCAGUAGGGAAUCUUUGGCAAAGGGCCGAAGUCCGAACGAGCCACGCCGCGUGAGUGAAGAAGGUUCUCGGGUCGGAAAACUCUGUUGGUAGGGAAGAACGUUGGUGAGAGUGAAAAGCUCAUCAAGUGACGGUAACUACCCAGAAAGCCACGGCUAACUACGUG